CAACCCUCAAGCUCCGCUUGGUGUUGGGGCCCUACGGCUGCCGUAGGCCCUGAAAGGAAGUGGCGGGCUCGCUGCAACUCCGAGCGUAGUAGAAUCUUAUCUCGCUAGGGAGGCGCCGCGCGCUCCUGCCGUUAAAGACCCCAUCUUUAACCAAA
rnacentral:misc_RNA from 1 species